rnacentral:rRNA from 1 species
UACCAGCACCCCGAGUGGUCGGGACGAUUAUUGGGCCUAAAGCAUCCGUAGCCGGUCCUGCAAGUCUUCCGUUAAAUCCAGCUGCUCAACAGAUGGGCUGCGGGAGAUACUACAGGGCUAGGAGGCGGGAGAGGCAAGCGGUACUUUAUGGGUAGGGGUAAAAUCUGCUGAUCCAUAGAAGACCACCAGUGGCGAAGGCGGCUUGCCAGAACGCGCUCGACGGUGAGGGAUGAAAGCUGGGGGAGCAAACAGG